rnacentral:rRNA from 1 species
GAUGAACGCUGGCGGCGUGCCUAAUACAUGCAAGUCGAGCGAACAGACGAGGAGCUUGCUCCUCUGACGUUAGCGGCGGACGGGUGAGUAACACGUGGAUAACCUACCUAUAAGACUGGGAUAACUUCGGGAAACCGGAGCUAAUACCGUAUAAUAUAUUGAACCGCAUUGUUCAAUAGUGAAAGACGGUUUUGCUGUCACUUAUAGAUGGAUCCGCGCCGCAUUAGCUAGUUGGUAAGGUAACGGCUUACCAAGGCAACGAUGCGUAGACGACCUGAGAGAGUGAUCGGCCACACUGGAACUGAGACACGGUCCAGACUCCUACGGGAGGCAGCAGUAGGGAAUGUUACGCAGUGGGCGAAAGCUUGACGGAGCAACGGCGCGUGAGUGAUGAAGGUCUUCGGAUCGUAAAACUCUGUUAUUAGGGAAGAACAAAUGUGUAAGUAACUAUGCACGUCUUGACGGUACCUAAUCAGAAAGCCACGGCUAACUACGUG